AGAGUUUGAUCCUGGCUCAGGACGAACGCUGGCGGCGUGCUUAACACAUGCAAGUCGAGCGGUAAGGCCCUUCGGGGUACACGAGCGGCGAACGGGUGAGUAACACGUGGGUGACCUGCCCUUAGCUCUGGGAUAAGCCUGGGAAACUGGGUCUAAUACUGGAUAUGACCUCAUGAUGCAUGUUGUGGGGUGGAAAGCUUUGGCGGCUAGGGAUGGGCCCGCGGCCUAUCAGCUUGUUGGUGGGGUGAUGGCCUACCAAGGCGACGACGGGUAGCCGGCCUGAGAGGGCGACCGGCCACACUGGGACUGAGACACGGCCCAGACUCCUACGGGAGGCAGCAGUGGGGAAUCUUGCGCAAUGGGCGAAAGCCUGACGCAGCGACGCCGCGUGAGGGAUGACGGCCUUCGGGUUGUAAACCUCUUUCAGCCCUGACGAAGCGAAAGUGACGGUAGGGGCAGAAGAAGCACCGGCCAACUACGUGCCAGCAGCCGCGGUAAUACGUAGGGUGCAAGCGUUGUCCGGAAUUAUUGGGCGUAAAGAGCUCGUAGGCGGUCUGUCGCGUCGGCUGUGAAAACUCGGGGCUCAACUCCGAGCUUGCAGUCGAUACGGGCAGGCUAGAGUUCGGCAGGGGAGACUGGAAUUCCUGGUGUAGCGGUGAAAUGCGCAGAUAUCAGGAGGAACACCGGUGGCGAAGGCGGGUCUCUGGGCCGAUACUGACGCUGAGGAGCGAAAGCGUGGGGAGCGAACAGGAUUAGAUACCCCAGUAGUCC
rnacentral:rRNA from 1 species